rnacentral:rRNA from 1 species
UACGGAGGGUGCGAGCGUUGUCCGGAAUCACUGGGCGUAAAGCGCACGUAGGCGGGUCUUUAAGUCAGGGGUGAAAUCCCGGAGCUCAACUCCGGAACUGCCUUUGAUACUGGAGAUCUUGAGUCCGGGAGAGGUGAGUGGAACUGCGAGUGUAGAGGUGAAAUUCGUAGAUAUUCGCAAGAACACCAGUGGCGAAGGCGGCUCACUGGCCCGGUACUGACGCUGAGGUGCGAAAGCGUGGGGAGCAAACAGG